CCUACGGGCGGCAGCAGUGAGGAAUAUUGGUCAAUGGACGAGAGUCUGAACCAGCCAAGUAGCGUGAAGGAUGACUGCCCUAUGGGUUGUAAACUUCUUUUAUAUGGGAAUAAAACGUUCCACGUGUGGGAUUUUGUAUGUACCAUAUGAAUAAGGAUCGGCUAACUCCGUGCCAGCAGCCGCGGUAAUACGGAGGAUCCGAGCGUUAUCCGGAUUUAUUGGGUUUAAAGGGAGCGUAGGUGGAUUGUUAAGUCAGUUGUGAAAGUUUGCGGCUCAACCGUAAAAUUGCAGUUGAAACUGGCAGUCUUGAGUACAGUAGAGGUGGGCGGAAUUCGUGGUGUAGCGGUGAAAUGCUUAGAUAUCACGAAGAACUCCGAUUGCGAAGGUAGUUCACUGGACUGCAACUGACACUGAGGCUCGAAAGUGUGGGUAUCAAACAGGAGUAGAUACCCGGGUAGUC
rnacentral:rRNA from 1 species